AUAAAAUAUAAUAGUUUUGUUUGUGGAAACACCACGUAAAAUUAUUACUGCAGUAAUAAAUUUACGUGGUGUUUCCACAAACAAAACUAUUAAUAUCAUAUUUAUCGAAA